GUCUCUGAAGGAUAAUAGUUCAUCCAUUGGUCUUAGGAACCAAAAACUCUUGGUGCAACUCCAAGCAUAGACU
rnacentral:tRNA from 1 species